UUUAGCCACUCUGCGCAUGGCGGGGCUUGAAGUUACAGCGUCUCCUACCGGGCGUCUGCUCAGUCGCAUCUGGCACUGGCUCGGACCGCUGCGGAUCAACUCAGCUGGACCAAUACAGAGAGAGGAAGCAUUUAAAGACUGAUAGUACGGAUGUCUCUGGGGCCAUAGCUCAGUUAUGGAGCAUGUUAUUGGAGCAUAAGGGAGCGCAUUCCAGAGUCCAGGAGCAGCUACAGAGAAGGCCCAAUCCUGAGUCACUGCCAGUAUCUCUCCUAUAGGAUCUUCUUAACCACAGACAGUUGUCCUAGAGAGUGAAAAGGCUGUGCUGGUGUUCAGUUGCUGUUCUGCAUCUCUCCCCCAAGACCCCAUUGCCAUCUGGAAGUGCCCCUUGCCAUCCCGGGGUAACAGUAAUUUUGCUUGUGCAGGACAGUGUAGCUUGGGAGUUCUUGCAACGGCAGUGGUGCAAGUAGUGUGAGCGAAGUGUUAACAUGUAUUUGCCUUGCUGAAGGUGGACAAUCAAAAGGCACAGUCCCAUUGAGCAUGCCCCCUUCUAACAUCGUAGCCAAUAGUUGCUGUUUUACUGAUGUGCUGCUGCCCACAGUCUGGUGACGCGAGUGGAAUUGAGCUUGCUGAGAUGCAGCAUGGGUGAACUAGGAAGAGGGAGGGGUUUCUCUGUCCAGGAGCCAGAGGCUGCCAAACUGCAGUUGAUCAAUAGUCUGCAGCAUGAUGCCCAGCUUCACAGAUUAACCACAGCUUCGUUCACCCGUGGUUUCACAUUACAUCUGAAUGCGGCCUGUGAAUGCUUCAGUGUACCUCAGGUUUCCUUAUGCCACAGCUCUUGUGUGAUUUUUCAUCAGUAAAAUGAACCACCUCAUUUCAUUCUGCUUGAAAAUAGAUAUCAUAACCUAAUGCCUAUGGCUUCAAAAAUGAACUUGAGGUGGUUUCGUAACCAAUGGCAGAAUUUACUGGUUCAGGAAUAAAUCAUUCUCCAAGAACAAGUCUGAAAUUUGUUUGUAGAAAGCAUACUGCACAGUCACAUGUUGAGGUUUAUGGUAUUAUACCAACUUUCCAUUUCAAAUGACGUUAUGGUCAAGCCUGCACAACUUGUGAACCACUAAAUCAAAGGCAGCCCAUUUGCCACGUAUGACACCUUGCCCAGUGCUUGAUAAACUCCCUAAUUUCUGCAGCCUGCCUAGGAUUGUGAAAACAGGGACACUGUUAGGCACCUGGCAGGCCACAAUAUAAGGCUGCAUUCAACUUUGUGGGUCACAAGUUGUGCAGGCUUGCUAAAGCUGAACACUCUUAAACAGUGGAAAGAUAACAGUUACUUACUGGCUAAUUGGCAUUUCUUAGUGUUUGGCUCCACUCACACAGGGAAGCAAAGCCACUGACAACUGCAUUGCAAAAGGAUGCUUCUUCCUCUCCCAUCUCUUAGCAAUUUCGAGUGGAGACAGAGAAAAGGAUGGGGCAACCACACUCUCUGCUCUUUCCAACCAUUGGAUAGCAGCAGUAGGACCUUCUGACUUAAGAGUGUUAACUCUGAUUACUUUUCAGUGCCCAGUUAGUAUAAGUUAG